rnacentral:rRNA from 1 species
GUGCCAGCCGCCGCGGUAAGACGAAGGAUGCAAGCGUUAUCCGGAUUCAUUGGGUUUAAAGGGAGCGUAGGUGGUCUUCUAAGUCAGUGGUGAAAUCUCUCGGCUUAACUGAGAAAUUGCCAUUGAUACUGGGAGACUUGAGUGUAGUUGCCGUUGGCGGAAUAUGACAUGUAGUGGUGAAAUACAUAGAGAUGUCAUAGAACACCGAUUGCGAAGGCAGCUAACGAAACUAUAACUGACACUGAGGCUCGAAAGUGCGGGGAUCAAACAGGAUUAGAAACCCUGGUAGUCC